rnacentral:rRNA from 1 species
AAAUUGAAGAGUUUGAUCAUGGCUCAGAUUGAACGCUGGCGGCAGGCCUAACACAUGCAAGUCGAACGGUAACAGGAAACAGCUUGCUGUUUCGCUGACGAGUGGCGGACGGGUGAGUAAUGUCUGGGAAACUGCCUGAUGGAGGGGGAUAACUACUGGAAACGGUAGCUAAUACCGCAUAAUGUCGCAAGACUAAAGAGGGGGACCUUCGGGCCUCUUGCCAUCGGAUGUGCCCAGAUGGGAUUAGCUAGUAGGUGGGGUAACGGCUCACCUAGGCGACGAUCCCUAGCUGGUCUGAGAGGAUGACCAGCCACACUGGAACUGAGACACGGUCCAGACUCCUACGGGAGGCAGCAGUGGGGAAUAUUGCACAAUGGGCGCAAGCCUGAUGCAGCCAUGCCGCGUGUAUGAAGAAGGCCUUCGGGUUGUAAAGUACUUUCAGCGGGGAGGAAGGGAGUAAAGUUAAUACCUUUACUCAUUGACGUUACCCGCAGAAGAAGCACCGGCUAACUCCGUGCCAGCAGCCGCGGUAAUACGGAGGGUGCAAGCGUUA